rnacentral:rRNA from 1 species
GACGAACGCUGGCGGCGUGCCUAAUACAUGCAAGUCGAACGCAGUGGGGACGGGUGAGUAACACGUGGGUGACCUCCAAUCUGGGGGGAUAACACUUGGAAACAUGUGCUAACCGGAUACUGCUGGAUGGACCCGCGGUGCAUUAGCGAGUUGGUGAGGUAAUGGCUCACCAAGGCCACGAUGCAUAGCCGACCUGAGAGGGUGAUCGGCCACACUGGGACUGAGACACGGCCCAGACUCCUACGGGAGGCAGCAGUGGGGAAUAUUCGGCAAUGGGCGAAAGUCUGACCGAGCAACGCCGCGUGAGUGAAGAAGGUUUUCGGAUCGUAAAACUCUGUUAUUAGGGAAGCGGUAUCGAAACAGAAAGCAACGGCUAACUCCGUGCCAGCAGCCGCGGUAAUAC